rnacentral:rRNA from 1 species
CCUACGGGUGGCAGCAGUGGGGAAUAUUGGACAAUGGGCGAAAGCCUGAUCCAGCCAUGCCGCGUGUGUGAAGAAGGCCUUCGGGUUGUAAAGCACUUUCAGUGGGGAAGAAAGCCUUGGGGCUAAUACCCUCGAGGAAGGACAUCACCCACAGAAGAAGCACCGGCUAACUCCGUGCCAGCAGCCGCGGUAAUACGGAGGGUGCGAGCGUUAAUCGGAAUUACUGGGCGUAAAGCGCGAGUAGGCGGUCUGAUAAGCCGGUUGUGAAAGCCCCGGGCUCAACCUGGGAAUGGCAUCCGGAACUGUCAGGCUAGAGUGCAGGAGAGGAAGGUAGAAUUCCCGGUGUAGCGGUGAAAUGCGUAGAGAUCGGGAGGAAUACCAGUGGCGAAGGCGGCCUUCUGGACUGACACUGACGCUGAGGUGCGAAAGCGUGGGUAGCAAACAGGAUUAGAUACCCCGGUAGUC